CGCCAAGCGACCCACAAAAUAAUGAAAAGUGGAUCGCACAAAUGCCAUGCAUUCCAUUGAGAAGGAAUGCAUGGACAUAGAUUAUUAAUCGACGAUUGUUGAAGAUUUGUUCUUCUCGACACCCUACAACUUCCCUGCCAGCAAGAAGAGAGACAGUUGUAGCGUCACUGGAUGUGAUUUCCGGCCACACAUGCAGGGUAGCACGGAUGCAGCAGAAUUGAUUAAUUUAAGCUGGCAUGUGACAAUAAACUAUCACAUUUUCCUUUGACUUUUUCCUUAAAAUAUGUGAAAUAUAUAAUGCACUAAUGUCUC